rnacentral:rRNA from 1 species
UGGAGAGUUUGAUCCUGGCUCAGGACGAACGCUGGCGGCGUGCUUAACACAUGCAAGUCGAACGGAAAGGUCUCUUCGGAGAUACUCGAGUGGCGAACGGGUGAGUAACACGUGGGCAAUCUGCCCUGCACUUCGGGAUAAGCCUGGGAAACUGGGUCUAAUACCGGAUAGGACCACUUGGCGCAUGCCUUGUGGUGGAAAGCUUUUGCGGUGUGGGAUGGGCCCGCGGCCUAUCAGCUUGUUGGUGGGGUGAUGGCCUACCAAGGCGACGACGGGUAGCCGGCCUGAGAGGGUGUCCGGCCACACUGGGACUGAGAUACGGCCCAGACUCCUACGGGAGGCAGCAGUGGGGAAUAUUGCACAAUGGGCGCAAGCCUGAUGCAGCGACGCCGCGUGGGGGAUGACGGCCUUCGGGUUGUAAACCUCUUUCACCAUCGACGAAGGUCCGGGUUUUCUCGGAUUGACGGUAGGUGGAGAAGAAGCACCGGCCAACUACGUGCCAGCAGCCGCGGUA